GACGAACGCUGGCGGCGCGCCUAACACAUGCAAGUCGAACGAGAGAGAGGAAGCUUGCUUCCUUAAUCGAGUGGCGAACGGGUGAGUAACGCGUGAGGAACCUGCCUCAAAGAGGGGGACAACAGUUGGAAACGACUGCUAAUACCGCAUAAGCGCACAGUACCGCAUGGUACCGUGUGAAAACUACCGGUGGUAUGAGAUGGACCCGCGUCUGAUUAGCUAGUUGGUGGGGUAACGGCCUACCAAGGCGACGAUCGGUAGCCGGACUGAGAGGUUGAACGGCCACAUUGGGACUGAGACACGGCCCAG
rnacentral:rRNA from 1 species